rnacentral:rRNA from 1 species
AUACGGAGGGUGCAAGCGUUAAUCGGAAUUACUGGGCGUAAAGCGCACGCAGGCGGUCUGUCAAGUCGGAUGUGAAAUCCCCGGGCUCAACCUGGGAACUGCAUUCGAAACUGGCAGGCUAGAGUCUUGUAGAGGGGGGUAGAAUUCCAGGUGUAGCGGUGAAAUGCGUAGAGAUCUGGAGGAAUACCGGUGGCGAAGGCGGCCCCCUGGACAAAGACUGACGCUCAGGUGAGAAAGCGUGGGGAGCAAACAGGAUUAGAUACCCUGGUAGUCCACGCCGUAAACGAUGUCGACUUGGAGGUUGUGCCCUUGAGGCGUGGCUUCCGGAGCUAACGCGUUAAGUCGACCGCCUGGGGAGUACGGCCGCAAGGUUAAAACUCAAAUGAAUUGACGGGG